UACGUAGGGGGCGAGCGUUAUCCGGAUUUACUGGGUGUAAAGGGAGCGUAGACGGCGGCGCAAGUCUGAAGUGAAAGCCCGUGGCUCAACCGCGGAACCGCUUUGGAAACUGCGAGGCUGGAGUGCAGGAGGGGUAAAUGGAAUUCCUAGUGUAGCGGUGGAAUGCGUAGAUAUUAGGAGGAACACCAGUGGCGAAGGCGAUUUGCUGGACUGUAACUGACACUGAGGCACGAAAGCGUGGGGAGCAAACAGG
rnacentral:rRNA from 1 species